GACGAACGCUGGCGGCGUGCUUAACACAUGCAAGUCGAACGGAAAGGCCCUGCUUUUGUUGGGUGCUCGAGUGGCGAACGGGUGAGUAACACGUGAGUAACCUGCCCUUGACUUUGGGAUAACUUCAGGAAACUGGGGCUAUUACCGGAUAGGAUCUCUUGCUGCAUGGGGGGGGUUGGAAAGUUUCGGCGGUUGGGGAUGGACUCGCGGCUUAUCAGCUGGUUGGUGGGGUAGUGGCUGACCAAGGCUUUGACGGGUAGCCGGCAUGAGAGGGUGAACGGCCACCUUGGGACUGAGAUACGGCGCAGUAGCCUAUGGGCGGCAGCAGUGGGGAACCUGGCACAAUGGGGGGAAGCCUGAUGCAGAAACGCCGCGUGCGGGAUGACGGCCUUCGGGUUGUAAACCGAUUUCGAAUGUGACGAAGAGUGAGUGACGGUAAUGGGUAAAGAAGCAACGGCUAACUACGUG
rnacentral:rRNA from 1 species